AGGGCACGGCAGCGCGUUGAUGCAGAGCUGCUGAGAGGAGGGCCUGAAGGGGAGAUAUAGGGCACGGCAGCGCGGUGAUGCAGAGCUGCUGAGAGGAGGUCCGGGAGGGGAGGAGAGGGCACGGAAGCGUGGUGAUGCAGAGCUGCUGAGAGGAGGUCCGGGAGGGGAAGAGAGGGCACGGAAGCGUGGUGAUGCAGAGCUGCUGAGAGGAGGUCCGGGAGGGGAGGAGAGGACACGGAAGCGCGGUGAUGCAAAGCCACCAAACUGUCAGCGCGGGAGGUUUUCGUCACCACCACACUGCCAACGCGGGAUCAAACUUGCUCCUUUGAGCACCGCCGGGUUUUGUAUUCAUGCCUGGCCUCAGUGCCCUCGUAAAGCCUUUGUUCGGACACCAUAGCAACGUAUUAAGAACAAUCGGGUUACGGUGGUGAGAACUACACAAAAAUAAGGAAAAGCCGCUUAUAAAUAACGAAACAAAAGCAUGCCGACACUGGUGCCUGCAAGCGUCCCGCCGAGAGUGAUCAGCACCGCGUCCCAAAAGUAUGAGUGGAUGCUGAG